GCCAAAUAGGGUAUAUUUAAGGAAUGCAAGAAUGGUUCCUUCUUGCAUUUUUUUUUUUUUUUUGCACAAAGUAUCCAUUCACAAUCGGUAUAAAAAAUAAAAUACUUACAAGUAAACUUAACAAAAAUGGAUAUUUCAUAAGAAACUGUAAAACCUUGCUAAAGGACAUGAAAAGAGACUUGAAAAAUAGAGGCACACUCCAUGAUCCUGGGAGGAAAAACUAAAUAUUGGUAAAGAUCUGAAGUCCUCCAAAAUUAAUCUGUAAUUUUCUUUAAUUGAUUAAUUUUUUAAAUCUGUAAUUCUGAUGUAAUUCCAACCCAAACACCAAAAGAUAACAUAUGUUGGGUAGGGGGAGAUGGCUAGUUCAUUUAAAAAGAAUUUUGGGGGUGUGAAGGGCCUUUGGUAAUAUGGUAGUAAGUCCCAAGUCAUGGAGGAAAUGAUUGACAGGUUUGACUAUUUUGGCAGACACUACUGGUUACCAGCGAGAUGUAAAUAAAAAUCUGCUGGGGACUACUGGGAAAGAUUUUCCUUCCUGAUGAGAUAACAGAUCUGUGAGAUGAAAAAAAAAUUUUGUCCUCAUCCUCUGCCUUGCUAUUUAGACUAUGAGACGUAAGAUUUGAAGAUGUCACAGCCUUCUCAUCUUAUGAGGGGAGACCCUGCCAGCACAUUAUAGCUGGCAAAUCUGAGGGACGUCCAUAAAGAGACGGAUGGGACCUCUGAACCCCCACACUGAUUCUGGGACCACGAACCCCUGGAUCUCAGGGCUCAGUUCCAGGUCCUUCGGAGGCCCACAAACCUGGCCCCAUGAGACACCUUCAUAUCCUUCCAGCGAGGUCCCUGCCCCUCCUUCACCAAACUCCGCUUGACGUGGAUUUCUACCACCAGCCACCAAAAGAACUUUGCCAGGAACAACUUGCAGAGAUCCCGGAUUCUUAUUUUUUCACAGGAGGUAAAGGCCCCCUGAUCUCUACCAGUUACCUUUGGAAAAGGAAUUGGGAUCUGCUUCUGUGUGGAAGGCAGAGUCACCUACAUGCACGUACGCACCUAAAUCUGUCCGUGGUGUCUGGUCCAGUUCAGUGGUUUUUGCACCCCCUGCCCUGCUGCCACUCCGCCUGAGAUUCCCUGGUCACAGAAGUAAGAAAACACCUUCAUACCCAAGGAUCUCAAAGCACCUCUGGUGGAAAUACACAAGGUAAAGAAUGUUUAUUUAUUUUUAAAUAACUCUUUAUUUCUUGGAGGAAAUACUGUUUAAUGGGAAAGAUGUGACUAGUAACAAAUAAGAGUCUAAGGCUAUUUCUGGUUCUGUCAAUGACUCACUUUGACUUUGGGCAAAUCAUCUCACCACUGUUGCUCUUUAUCUGCAAAAACUGGACUUCAUGCCUAUGGGAGUUGCAUGGCUAAUCAAUGCCUGGAAAAUGCGUAGUGGCAGAUGCUACAAAAGUGCUGAGCCUUAAAAACACAACCACCCCCACCCCCCAUUUGUAUUCAGUUGAGGUUGGGGUUUAUUGUUAUUUAACAUUCGAAGGCCAACACUAUGUUAAGUCCAGCAUGCUGCACAGACCAGAUAAUAUCACUGUCCAGUAGGGAUUUUUUUUUCUUUAAUCUAGGAUUUUGGACUUUUUUUCUUUGAUUGUGGUUGGGGGUUAUUUUAGAAUCUAGUAGUAGAUCCAUACAAAAACAUUAAGCUUUAAGUUGAAAACUAUCGAUUUGAAAAUCUAAAUAAACCCCCUCCAAAAAAAAAAAAAAAGAGGCCCUCCCCUCCCCGCCAAGAAAUCUCUCAAAACAAGAAUUCCUCUGAUGUGUGUGUGUGUGUGUUUCCUCCCUGCAGUUCUCCAUGUUACAGUCCUUGGAGGUAGAAUAGGCAUAAAAUACUUUCACUAAUAAAAUAUGACAAACCGCCGGAUUAUACGUGGCCGAUUCCCAGUGAUUGCCCUGCUACACAAAGCAGAAAAGUAAAUGCCAUCAUCCCCCUUAGAACAAAAGAACUUAGGAAUAAAAAACAUGGAGAGGGGGGAGAAAGCAGCAAUAAAUAAAGGUGAGGGAAGGACCCCGUCCCCCGCCCCUCCCCGACGCGACUGUGGGACUAAGUGUGGCUAAUAAAGUGGUUCAAGGGUAGUUAUUUGGAAAGGGGGCGGGGUGGCGAGGGGAGGGCGCGGGCGAGCGGCGGCCGGGGAUUGCAUGUUGCAUUCGACUUGAGGUUGCAUCUUUCUCCUGUUGCCUGGACCACGCUCCCCCAUUGCAGUGCUUCCCCAUUGCUUCUCUCCGCUCCUGCCCUCGCGGCUUUUUUCCCCCCUUAAAACUGCUGUUGCACUGGAGGGAGUUGGGGCCGCUCCGGAGCCCCUUUGCAGCUCUUGCCCGGGGGGAGGGGGAGUUGGGCUCGGGCCGCGGAGUUGGGGGGGCCGCAGCGGGCUCCGGCCUCGCCUCGGCUGCAGCUACAUGGGAGCCGAGCUGCGGCGCUGCACCGACCCAUCAUUGCCGCCGCUCCGUGCUCAGCCCCAUCACCGCCGCCGCCGCCGCCGCUGCACUGGAGUUUGGCUGCUGCUGCCCUACUUCACUCUAGUUUAGUUUCACUCACUUUACAUCCGGGUUUUUUCCCUAGGCAAUGGGGGCCGCAGCACACCCCGUUCCUUAGGCAAAGUGAAAUAAAUUCGC
rnacentral:lncRNA from 1 species